AGUCGAACGGCAGCGCGGACUUCGGUCUGGCGGCGAGUGGCGAACGGGUGAGUAAUACAUCGGAACGUGCCCUGUUGUGGGGGAUAACUAGUCNAAAGAUUANCUAAUACCGCAUACNACCUGAGGGUGAAA
rnacentral:rRNA from 1 species